UUUUAAUUAUUUCUUACCAUGCGUUAUAUUUUUUUGGAAGAUCUGACCUUAUCUCUUUAUUACAGUCUGCUGUAAUAUUUUCGGAUAAAAUACUAUCGGCCAAAGUAUUUUUCUGCUUAAAUAUCGUUCGGCUUAAAUACGGUUCGACUGAUUUAUUUUUGGUUGUUUUAAGCGCUCCUUUAAUUUAUCAUCUAUGAUACGUUAUCAUUAAUUUAAAAUGUAGAAUGUAGGUUAUCAAAUUGAUCCGAAUAGCCUCCAUUAAGGUUUUCUCGGGGCUCUACAUACCUAAGUUUUAUGUCAAAUAUCCUAUCUUUCGUUAUGAACCAAAAAUAACGGUUCAGACAGUAAGUUCCUAUCACUCUUACGAUAGUGAUUACCAAAUAUCAUAAAUUCAAUGUAGUGUAAUGAUUGUUUUCACGAUAGUUAUUAUCAUCGCAUGGGCUCGUGUAGUUUACGCAGGUUCUAUAUAUUUAGCGUGUUUCAAAGAAAAUAUAAACUUGUAUUAUCAUUUUUAAUCAAUAACCUAAUCGUUUUGCAUAUUUUUAAGCUGUGAGUACAUACAGGG